rnacentral:rRNA from 1 species
UCUCCUGGAAAACGGGUGGUAAUGCCGGAUGCUCCAGUUGAUCGCAUGGUCUUCUGGGAAAGCUUUCGCGGUAUGGGAUGGGGUCGCGUCCUAUCAGCUUGACGGCGGGGUAACGGCCCACCGUGGCUUCGACGGGUAGCCGGCCUGAGAGGGCGACCGGCCACAUUGGGACUGAGAUACGGCCCAGACUCCUACGGGAGGCAGCAGUGGGGAAUAUUGCACAAUGGGCGCAAGCCUGAUGCAGCGACGCCGCGUGAGGGAUGGAGGCCUUCGGGUUGUAAACCUCUUUUAUCGGGGAGCAAGCGAGAGUGAGUUUACCCGUUGAAUAAGCACCGGCUAACUACGUGCCAGCAGCCGCGGUAAUACGUAGGGUGCAAGCGUUAUCCGGAAUUAUUGGGCGUAAAGGGCUCGUAGGCGGUUCGUCGCGUCCGGUGUGAAAGUCCAUCGCUUAACGGUGGAUCCGCGCCGGGUACGGGCGGGCUUGAGUGCGGUAGGGGAGACUGGAAUUCCCGGUGUAACGGUGGAAUGUGUAGAUAUCGGGAAAGAACA